GGGAACCGCCCCUGGUGGGCGGAGCCGGUCUUUGCCCCUUUUUAUAAGCUCAGGUGUGGGCAAUUAGGUAUUCCUCUAGCAAACCUGAAGCUGCGAGUGCUUGGUCCAAGCUGGGCAAGUUGGUAUUUUUAAAUUCCUUUCCAUGAAAGUUUGAUGCGGGUCCCCCUAAACUUCUAUUAGAACGGUGGGAAACAUUGCUCCCGUGAGAACGGUACAGUGGACUUCAUCGCCACUGACCCACAGUUAUUAGGGUGUGACACGAACUUGUGGACAGGUAACAAAACAAUUAAGUUGAGGAAUAUUCCUGUGUUUUAUUGUCCAGCAUAAGUGAUCUCCUGCCUUUUAUUCACAGAGUACCGAGCUGCUGCUUUGCCCGGUGGAUUUCUGGUUGCGGGCAAAGGACCCGACACAUCAGUGUGUUUUAAUUUGUUUUAAACUGGUGUAAGUCGACAGACUGACUGUUGCGGCUGUCGAUUGUUUUGUUUUGUUUUUAUUUUAUUUUUUCUGUAUCAGUAGGCACCACAAAUAUUGAUUCUUUUAGUAUUUUUAACCCUUUUCUUAAAUGUGUAUAGACAUAUUGUCGCGAACGGUGAAGGCGCUGCAGGGAGAACAAAUCCUUUUUUUUUUCCCUCACCGCUUCUGCAUGCACAGCGGAGGGCCUGAGUGAAGACGGCACUGAAGCUUUUGUUUUUCUCUAUAGUGUUUUGCCCAUUUGGGGUCGUGUGUCAGUUGCCGUCCCUUUUUAACCUGUGUUAUGUUGAUUUGUUUUUAAUGGUUCCCCGCAGCGCUUGUCCUGUCUCACGGGCAAUCAUACAGUUUUAUCGUUUUUAAAUAAGGUAAAGCUUUUAAUUGUUUUUAAGUGCCGCUGUUAUAUUGUUACUUUUAUUUUGUAUUAAAAAUUAAAUUCUUUUUAACUGAC